UUGAUGCAAGGUGUACUAUGAUACUACGUCGGUGGUUAAAGAGCUUCCUGCAAACAUGGAACUUGCACCAUAAGUUUUCAACCUGAUUUUUGACAUGUGGAAAUUCUUUAAGUGGUUUAGCUUCAAGUGAAUUAUACUCGUUUUGGGGAGAGUGAUAGUUUUGAACUAUGAUUAUCGGUCAAGAAAAUGAAAAUUUUUGGGGUGGUGUAGCUUUAAGUGACUAUACUCUUUAUAGUAGAGUAUGAUAGCUUUUUGUGAACUAUGAUUGUUG
rnacentral:lncRNA from 1 species